CGCACGGGUGAGUAACACGUAUGCAACCUGCCUGCCACAGCCGGAUAAUCGGGAGAAAUUCCGUCUAAUACGGCAUAAUGCAUCGACGGGACAUCCUGUUGGUGCCAAAGGUUAAUUCCGGUGGCGGAUGGGCAUGCGUCGCAUUAGUUAGUUGGCGGUGUAACGGACCACCAAGACGACGAUGCGUAGGGGUUCUGAGAGGAAGGUCCCCCACACUGGUACUGAGACACGGACCAGACUCCUACGGGAGGCAGCAG
rnacentral:rRNA from 1 species